AUGGCUCAGGACGAACGCUGGCGGCGUGCCUAAUACAUGCAAGUCGAACGGCUUUUCUAUGGAAGCUUGCUUCCACUGAGAAGAUAGUGGCGAACGGGUGAGUAACACGUGGGUAACCUGCCCAUAAGAGGGGGGAUAACAUCCGGAAACGGGUGCUAAUACCGCAUAGUUUUCUUGAUCGCAUGAUCGGGAAAGGAAAGACGGCCUUUGUGCUGUCGCUUAUGGAUGGACCCGCGGCGUAUUAGUUAGUUGGUGAGGUAACGGCUCACCAAGACGAUGAUACGUAGCCGACCUGAGAGGGUGAUCGGCCACAUUGGGACUGAGACACGGCCCAAACUCCUACGGGAGGCAGCAGUAGGGAAUCUUCCGCAAUGGACGAAAGUCUGACGGAGCAACGCCGCGUGAGUGAAAGAAGGUUUUCGGAUCGUAAAACUCUGUUGUCAGAGAAGAACAAGUUGGAGAGUAACUGCUCCAGCCUUGACGGUAUCUGACCAGAAAGCCACGGCUAACUACGUGCCAGCCGCCGC
rnacentral:rRNA from 1 species